rnacentral:rRNA from 1 species
AUGUGUGUCCCUGAUCUUUGUGUCCUUAAGAGUGUCGAAUUAGGUAAUAAAGAUUACAAUUUGGGAGCAAUUGUUACACGUAGGUUGCAUAAUAAUGGUUUAGUUGGAGAUUUAUUUGGAGGGAUUUAUGCGACCAGUGUUGCUAAUUAUCUUGGUAUAGCUCCACGUGAGGGUGAUAUUGAGUUAUCUUCCGCUUAUUUAGAUUAUGACGCUAUGGUUAGGCAUCGUUUUCUUGUGAGGAAUGAACAAUUCCUCCAAUAUCGACUAAUCUUUCACAGACGUUGCACUGUCCAUGUUACUCUCCCUGCUCCUUCCCUUUUUGAUUACCAGGCAAAAAAAAGAUAUGUUGUCACCAGGGAGGAGGCAACCAAACACGAGAGGAGAGCGGAGGCAGCUCGCCAACAUGCCGCAGCUCAGGAGGCAUUGGCUGCUGCAUCUCAGUACGACCCCAGUUAUAACUUCGGAUAUCAGCCAGGCUAUCAUUGGCAUUAG